ACCUUCUCCCCAGCCUUUGGCUGCCUGCCCUUCAUGAAGGCUCAGUGGAGCUUUUCAGGCCAAAGUAGGAAAACAAAGAAGAAGGGCUCUAUCCUGGCCCCCCUCCUGGUCUCUGAGAGCCCCCAACACUCGUCAGUCCACCUCCCAGACUGGAGUGCAGUGGUGCGAUCACAGCUUACUGCAGCCUCACCUCCAGGGCUCAAGCCAGCCUCCCAGGUACAGCACUGGCUUCCUCUGGGCAGAUGUUGCCAACUCAGAGCCCCUUUUAUUCUGAACCCUGGACCAUGGGCAUGUGGUGGACAGAAUAAUGAUACCCUUCAAGAUGCCCACAUCCUAAUCUCCAGAAGCUCUAUCACGGGUGAUUUUAAUUUUCAACUUUAGGCUUCCAUUUUCAAAUUCCACAAUGAACACAUAAGGUGGAGUUCUGGUUUCAACACACACACACACACACACACACACACACACUCCUGCCUCCUAGUGGGCAGAGAUUUUUGUUCACAAAGAAUCUUCUGCCAAAUGCCUCCGAGGUACACGUAGGUCUUGGGGAGCCCAUGGGCCAACUGUUUUGUGGGCACUCCUGUCUUCGGUAGGCAGGUUCUUCAGAGCUUUGAGACCUCCACAACCUUGCGCUGCUCUCCUGGGGCAGCCUUCAUGCAGGGGUGUCCUGAGGACUUCCCAGGGCACCCAACUUCAGCACUGUCAUCCAGUGUGCGUUUCACGGAACUUUUUUUCCCAGGAGAAAUAACUUUAUUUGAACUGAGAGCUGGAGAAUGAGACAAGGACUUGAGACAGCAUGAGUAGAGGUGAGGUUCCAAAACGGCAGUCAGAGCUCAUCCACCAAACAGACUCCACUUUCCCAGCAACCUUGCAGUUAGUGCCACCAACAAAAGGUCCACUGGGAAAUAUAUUUGCCACAAAAUUACCCAAGUAUGCCAACAUUACAAAAAAGAUACAGAUUUUUCAUCGUAAUUAAAUUUCCACAAAACCCCCAAAUCACAAGUGUUUUGUUUUUUUUUUUUGAGACGGAGUUUUGCUUUUUUCGCCCAGGCUGUAGUGCAGUGGCACAAUCUCGGCUCACAGCAACCUCUGCCUCCCAGGUUCAAGCAAUUCUCCUGCCUCAGUCUCCCAAGUAGCCGGGACUACAGUCGCCCAAAACCACAUUGUGGGGAAAAGAAAGAGAGAUCAGAUUGUUACUGUGUCUGUGUAGAAAGAAGUAGACAUAGGAGACUCCAUUUUGUUCCCUACUAAGAAAAAUUCUUCUGCCCUGAGAUGCUGCCAAUCUGUAACCCUUCCCCCAACCCUGUGCUCCCCGAAACAUGCGCUGUGUCAACUCAGGGCCAAAUGGAUCAAGGGCUGUGCAGGGUGUGCUUUGUUAAACAAAUGCUUGAAGGCAGCAUGCUUGUUAAGAGUCAUCACCACUCCCCAAUCUCAAACCACUCCCCAAUCUCAAGUACCCAGAGACACAAAACACUGCAGAAGGCCGCAGGGACCUCUGCCCAGGAAAGCCAGGCACCGUCCAAGGUUUCUCCCCAUGUGAGAGUCUGAAAUAUGGCCUUGUGGGAAGGGAAAGACCUGACCGUCCCCCAGCCCGACACCCGACACCCGUAAAAGGUCUGUGCUGAGGAGGAUUAGUAAAAGAGGAAGGAACGCCUUUUUGCAGUUGAGAUAAGAGGAAGGCUUCUGUCUCCUGCUCAUCCCUGGGCAAUGGAAUGUCUGGGUGUAAAGCUGAUUGUAUAUUCCAUCUACUGAGAUAGGAGAAAACCGCCUUAGGGCUGGAGGUGGGACAUGCUGGCAGCAAUACUGUUCCUUAAGGCAAUGAGAUGUUUAUGUAUAUGCACAUCAAAAGCACAGCACUUUUUUCUUUACCUUGUUUAUGGUGCAGAGACAUUUGUUCACGUGUUUACCUUCUGACCUCCCCACCAUUAUCCUAUUAUCCUGUCACGCCCGAUAAUGAGCAAUAAAUACUAAGGGAACGCAGCAGCCGGGGCUGGCGUGGAUCCUCCAUAUGCUGAAUGCCUGUCCCCUGGGCCCCUUUUUCUUUUUUUUUUUUUUUUUUUUUUUUU
rnacentral:lncRNA from 10 species